rnacentral:rRNA from 1 species
AAGGGUGCGUAGGCGGCUAAUUAAGUCAGCGGUGAAAGUUUUGGGCUCAACCCAGAAAUUGCCAUUGAUACUGGUUAGCUUGAGUAUUGGAGGGGGUACAUGGAAUUGAUGGUGUAGCGGUGAAAUGCAUAGAUACCAUCAGGAACACCGAUAGCGAAGGCAUUGUACUGGCCAAUAACUGACGCUGAUGCACGAAAGCAUGGGUAGCGAACAGGAUUAGAUACCCCGGU